AUAUAACAUUUCUUUUCUUUAUUGCUUUCACAGUAGCUGUGAAUUCAGGGUUUUAUUAGUGCUUGUACAGUACUACUGGCUUCUGUAGAUACAAAGGACAUUUCCUGCCAAAGGCAAUGACAUGUAGUCAGAUUUGUUAACGGUGUAGAAAAUGUUACAUUCUCACUUUUUUUCUGGUCCAAACUCAAAACAAGAAUAACUCUGUACAGUAGGAGCAGAGAGGUACCAUUUAUUGGUUUAUUCCUACACAGGAUUACAGUAUGACACUUGGAGCAUUUAAUUUCCUUAUUUUAGCAGCAGUCAACCUCUGUAGAGGGACCAUUAAAGUGCCGUCACGAGAGGUGACAUCUUGUUGACAGCUCUUGAUGAAGAUAAUGGAGUUUGAGCUGAAAAUGCAGAAGAAGAAAAUGAGAAAAGUGUUCAAAAAUUUCUGUCAUAGAUUUAAUUAAAAGUGUGGCUGUGGGGUUUAAAUGAGGGUAAAGUAGUCAAUUUCAGCAUUGAAGGCCCAUCAGGAAAACGUUACUACUGAAGCUCUGGUUUAGGAGGUUGCUCUUACUCAAAGGAGGUGAAUAUGGAGUCACAUUAGGGUCAGAUUAGAUCUGUGCGUGCGUAAACCAAUCUGUGCGUGCAUAACCAGAUUUGUACUUGUAGACUUAGUGGGGCUAUACAGUGUACCAUGCUGACACUUAUAAUUAGGGAGGUUAAAAUUACGCACAAAUCGUGGCUAAUUUACAAGUAAAAUAACGUGGCCCCUAUUUGCCUCCAUGCUCUGAUUGGCUGAUGAACAAGGAAGUUGUCACAGUCCCUUGACGUGGCACAGCAGAUCCUGAAAGCUCCACAAGCAGCAACAAGCUAGUCCACUGACUGAUGACUUUAAUUAUAUUUAAUGAUCAGACAGACAUGACGGCUCAUAUUCAUGAAGUUUGACGUUACUCUUGUGAUUUGCGGAGAGAAUACUCGAGGGGAGGCUGGACAGGUCUGCGCCUCAUCCAGGAGGAAGGAGUGCGGCACGGUGGUGCGGUGGGUAGCACUGUCGCCUCACAGCAAGAAGGUUCUGGGUUCCCUGUCCAGGGUGUACCCUGCCUCUCGCCUCGCUGGGAUAGGCUCCAGCACCCCCGUGACACUAAUUAAAACAAUUCAAGUGCUUGAGAAGUAAAUUUGAACCUUGAGUGAAGUAUCCUGUUAUACUAAUAAAGAGCAAACCUGUAAAACCA
rnacentral:lncRNA from 1 species